rnacentral:rRNA from 1 species
CUCUAUUGAGGCCCCGUAAUCGGAAUGAGUACACUUUAAAUCCUUUAACAAGGAUCCAUUGGAGGGCAAGUCUGGUGCCAGCAGCCGCGGUAAUUCCAGCUCCAAUAGCGUAUAUUAAAGUUGUUGCGGUUAAAAAGCUCGUAGUUGGUUCUGCGUGCCGCGCUGUCGGUUCGCCGCCUGUCGGUGUAACUGGCAUGUUCGCGGCAUGUCCUGUCGGUGGUGAACAGGGUCCACGAUGCUGCAUUAGGCUUUUAAAGGCCGAUGUUAGCGUCGUGUGUACUUUUGUUGGCCGAUCUCUCCUACUUCGGUGCUCUUAAACGAGUGUCGAGGUAGGCCGACACGUUCACUUUGAACAAAUUAGAGUGCUUAAAGCAGGCUGAAAUAUCUGCCUGAAUAGUGGUGCAUGGAAUGAUAAAACAGGACCUCGGUUCUAUUUUGUUGGUUUUAGGAAUAUGAGGUAAUGAUCAAUGUGGACUGGCGGGGGCAUUCGUAUUGCGACGUUAGAGGUGAAAUUCUUGGAUCGUCGCAAGACGCACUAGAGCGAAAGCAUUUGCCAAGUAUGUCUUAAUUGAUCAAGAACGAAAGUUAGAGGUUCGAAGGCGAUUAGAUACCGCCCUAGUUCUAACCAUAAACGAUGCCAGCCAGCGAUCCGCCGAUGUUCCUUUAAUGACUCGGCGGGGAGCUUCUACCCGGGAAACCAAAGCUUUUGGGUUCCGGGGGAAGUAUGG